GGCGGCAUGCCUUACACAUGCAAGUCGAACGGUAACAGGUAAAGCUGACGAGUGGCGAACGGGUGAGUAAUGUAUCGGAACGUGCCCAGUCGUGGGGGAUAACUACUCGAAAGAGUGGCUAAUACCGCAUGAGACCUGAGGGUGAAAGCGGGGGACUCGCAAGAGCCUCGCGCGAUUGGAGCGGCCGAUAUCAGAUUAGCUUGUUGGUGGGGUAAAAGCCCACCAAGGCGACGAUCUGUAGCUGGUCUGAGAGGACGACCAGCCACACUGGGACUGAGACACGGCCCAGACUCCUACGGGAGGCAGCAGUGGGGAAUUUUGGACAAUGGACGCAAGUCUGAUCCAGCCAUGCCGCGUGUGGGAAGAAGGCCUUCGGGUUGUAAACCACUUUUGUCAGGGAAGAAACGGCUCUUACUAAUAUUAGGAGCUAAUGACGGCACCUGAA
rnacentral:rRNA from 1 species